rnacentral:rRNA from 1 species
CCUACGGGAGGCAGCAGUGGGGAAUAUUGGACAAUGGGGGCAACCCUGAUCCAGCAAUGCCGCGUGUGUGAUGAAGGCCUUAGGGUUGUAAAGCACUUUCACUGGUGAAGAUGAUGACGGUAACCAGAGAAGAAGCCCCGGCUAACUUCGUGCCAGCAGCCGCGGUAAUACGAAGGGGGCGAGCGUUGUUCGGAAUUACUGGGCGUAAAGGGCGCGUAGGCGGUCUUUUAAGUUAGGCGUGAAAUCCCCGGGCUCAACCUGGGAACUGCGCUUAAAACUGGAAGACUAGAAAACGCAAGAGGGUAGUGGAAUUCCCAGUGUAGAGGUGAAAUUCGUAGAUAUUGGGAAGAACACCAGUGGCGAAAGCGGCUACCUGGUCCGAUUUUGACGCUGAGGCGCGAAAGCGUGGGGAGCAAACAGGAUUAGAUACCCUGGUAGUCCACGCCGUAAACGAUGUCUGCUAGAUGUCGGGGGGUUGCCCCUCGGUGUCGCCGCUAACGCAUUAAGCAGACCGCCUGGGAAGUACGGUCGCAAGAUUAAAACUCAAAGGAAUGACGG